GCAAGUCGAACGAGACCUUCGGGUCUAGUGGCGCACGGGUGCGUAACGCGUGGGAAUCUGCCCUUGGGUUCGGAAUAACAGUUGGAAACGACUGCUAAUACCGGAUGAUGACGUAAGUCCAAAGAUUUAUCGCCCAGGGAUGAGCCCGCGUAGGAUUAGCUAGUUGGUGAGGUAAAGGCUCACCAAGGCGACGAUCCUUAGCUGGUCUGAGAGGAUGAUCAGCCACACUGGGACUGAGACACGGCCCAGACUCCUACGGGAGGCAGCAGUGGGGAAUAUUGGACAAUGGGCGAAAGCCUGAUCCAGCAAUGCCGCGUGAGUGAUGAAGGCCUUAGGGUUGUAAAGCUCUUUUACCCGGGAUGAUAAUGACAGUACCGGGAGAAUAAGCUCCGGCUAACUCCGUGCCAGCAGCCGCGGUAAUACGGAGGGAGCUAGCGUUGUUCGGAAUUACUGGGCGUAAAGCGCACGUAGGCGGCGAUCUAAGUCAGAGGUGAAAGCCCGGGGCUCAACCCCGGAAUAGCCUUUGAGACUGGAUUGCUUGAAUCCAGGAGAGGCGAGUGGAAUUCCGAGUGUAGAGGUGAAAUUCGUAGAUAUUCGGAAGAACACCAGUGGCGAAGGCGGCUCACUGGACUGGUAUUGACUCUGAGGUGCGAAAGCGUGNGGAGCAAACAGGAUUAGAUACCCUGGUAGUCCACGCCGUAAACGAUGAUAACUAGCUGCUGGGGGCUCAUGGAGCUUCGGUGGCGC
rnacentral:rRNA from 1 species